GUGUGGAGCUCUGGGUUAUAUCUGAUGGGCUACAUUUUCUCUUUGUUUUGCGAAUGGAACAUUUCAAGCACUAUGCUACUCUAGAUAGGUUAACGUGCAUUCAUCGGGUAUACAUUUGUUACCCCAAACGACUAGUUAGAGAUGGGUCAUCUAAGUUGUUAUUGUUUUUCAUAUCCUGUUUUGUUGGGUUGCCUCAUCCAUCUCAAAAAUCAUCAGGUCAGCAUGGGGGUAGAGAAUAUCUAAAAGCCUUGAGACCUGUUCAGACCUAUCGCUGUCUCACAUUUUCUCGCCAACACACACAAACACACACACACACACACACAUUAUUUGUAUUUAUUUUGUAUCAUAAACUAGCUCAGACAAGACCCGAAAAAAAUUAAUCAAACUGAUGACGCACCUCAAAAUAUUUUGUUUGGCUAAAAUGAAAUGAUUACAAAUACUUCACUAAGCAAAGGUGCCUCCCUAAAGACCAAUUUGGAAUGAUUUGUUGUCCCAGUGUACGGCAGUCUGGGGGUGAGGUUAUAUAAAGGAGGUCUGAGGAGGAGAUUGGGCAUUCCUCUGAAACACCCGAGACACAUCACGAAGAGGUCAACCUGGUGCCGUGUCCACUGCUGCCAUCAUCAUGUCCAAACUGAUCUGUGGGCUUCUCCUCCUGGUCGUCGUGGUGUCCUUUUGGUGCGACAACAGAGGUGAAUAUGGUACCAUAUACUGCUGGCUAUGGUGUUUUUCACACCUUCUGCUUUACACUGGUAAACAUUUCCGUCCUUAUCCCUACCAAACAGCACUAUGUCAAUGACUAAGAUCUUGCACAACAAAUGUACUUCAGUACUUCUUCAGUGGUUGAUCAGUAAUAAGUUUACAUGUAUUUCAUAUACGUUUAUGUUUCAACUUAAGAAUGGAAACAAUGAUUAGUGAAGGUCAACGCAUUCUCCUUUCUGUGUGUAGUCUCUGCUUCCAAAUGGGUUCCGAGGAACAUGCGGAGGUGCUGGUGCAAAGAGAACUGCCACAAGUCAUCGUCUCCAAAAACCGAUGUGGAAAAACUGAGAUUUCGGAAAUGCCUUUGCUUCCAACAUCAUCUGCUUAAAUUCAAGGACAUGUCUGUCUUGGACAUCCAGAAGAAAUGCAAUCACACGCCAAAAUAUCCCAUUCCGAGCAAUCCCAUCGGAUUCCUGUGAGGAUGAAAGGGCUCCCUUUAUCUCUCUGUGCUGUUAGAAAUCGGCCGUUUCGUAUAGUGGUUGUAAUAAUUAGAUUACCCGUUUGUCAAGGGAGAGAGAAAUUAUAUUAUUUAUUGCAGCAUUAGAAAGUCUUGUUCAUGAGGUUACGGACCUGGUCUUCCUUACACAACCUCAAUCUCAUCUCACUCAAUCUAUUCUCACUGUAAUGUUGGUUACAAGCUGAUAUAUACAUUGAAGGGGGUGUCUACCUAGCAAAGAUCAGGUUUCCAAGACAGUUACCUCCAUGCCAAAUGGUCAAUGUAAACAUUCCUGUGGUUAGUAGAGCACAACCUACAGAGAGAUAAUCUACACAGAGAUGUUUCUGUUGUUCUCAUUAUCUAGGCGCAUUCACCUACAAUGAAACGUACAUUCACAUUGUAAUUGUUAAUGCUCAGAUACCACAAUGCCUUUCUGUCAAAUCCUUUUAAAUCAUUGUUAUACCUGCAGCAUUGAUUGAAAUAUGUAAAUUAAAUAAAGGUUUUCACCAUAUUGUCAAUGUAUUUGUGUUGAUCCACCAGCUUUGUAGACAAUAUUUACAUCUGCAAGUAGAAAAGAAUAUUGUACUCCGUAUGCAAAUAAAUGAUAAAGCAUCCACU
ensembl:lncRNA